rnacentral:rRNA from 1 species
UGGCCAGACUCCUACGGGAGGCAGCAGUGAGGAAUAUUGGUCAAUGGUCGGGAGACUGAACCAGCCAAGUCGCGUGAGGGAUGACGGCCCUACGGGUUGUAAACCUCUUUUGUCGGGGAGCAAAUUCCGUUACGUGUAACGGAGUCGAGAGUACCCGAAGAAAAAGCAUCGGCUAACUCCGUGCCAGCAGCCGCGGUAAUACGGAGGAUGCGAGCGUUAUCCGGAUUUAUUGGGUUUAAAGGGUGCGUAGGCGGAAUGCCAAGUCAGCGGUAAAAUCGCGGGGCUCAACCUCGCUCCGCCGUUGAAACUGGCGUUCUUGAGUGGGCGAGAAGUAUGCGGAAUGCGUGGUGUAGCGGUGAAAUGCAUAGAUAUCACGCAGAACUCCGAUUGCGAAGGCAGCAUACCGGCGCGCAACUGACGCUCAUGCACGAAAGCGUGGGUAUCGAACAGGAUUAGAUACCCCGGUAA